rnacentral:lncRNA from 1 species
GCAGGGGUGGAGUGAUGUGAUCUAAGGGUCCCUGGAGAAGGGUGGAGUGGAAGAGGCAGGGUCUUGGGGCAAAGGGAAAGGUGUUUGGAUGAAGACUGAGGCAGUGCCUACCUCCCUCCACAUCUGAGGAUCAAGCAGGGAACUAGAUGUUUGAGAAGAUCAAACAACAUCCUGACUUUGGGGUCCUUAAGACCUGGGUUAUUCUCCUCCCAGUCCUAGUGGGAGGCUAUCCAUUCCA